UACGGAGGGUGCAAGCGUUGUCCGGAUUUAUUGGGUUUAAAGGGUGCGUAGGCGGCCUCUUAAGUCAGUGGUGAAAGCCCGCGGCUCAACCGCGGAACUGCCAUUGAUACUGGGAGGCUUGAGUACAGACGAGGUAGGCGGAAUUGAAGAUGUAGCGGUGAAAUGCUUAGAUAUCUUCAAGAACACCGAUUGCGCAGGCAGCUUACUAGGCUGUAACUGACGCUGAGGCACGAAAGCGUGGGGAGCGAACAGG
rnacentral:rRNA from 1 species